AAAUACAUAUUGUGAAGUUAAAGUUUGCCACCCAGACACUGAUAAAAGCAGCACUUUAUUUCAAUUUAAAGAAAGAAAAUAACAUGUACAGUAAAUGCCAUGAGAUGCCAAGAAUACAUAUGGAAGGAUGUAAAACGUAUUCAGUAUGAAAAAAAACAAUAAAUUGAUAGCCCAUUCAAAUGCAAAGCAUCCACAUCCAACAAAAGAUUAAAACACAUUCCUCAAUAUUCCAAGUCACAGAGCAGGUAAUUCUUUUAGUGUCAUAUAUCAUCAUAUUACAUUGUAAUGAAGAAUGUUGAGAGAUGCUUCAUUCCAUCCCUUUUAUCUGGAAAGCUGCUGCACUGGUACCAUCAUCUACGACGUGUAUUAGAGGAGAAUCACAGUAUUUCAGAAAACAGCUGAGAAACAUGUAACUUCUUUUUCUCUUACUUUGUGCAGAUGAAAUUAAACUUGUUGUGGUCUGACAUGCUGAACCAGAGUUGGUCCUCUCUAGUCUCCAUGGCACCACUCAUGUCGCAGUCUCCUGUUUUAUUCUCCAGAGCCCAGCGAUUGAAUUCCAACUGAUGAUCAUAGACCCAGAACCAGACCCCCAGGAUGCAGGUGUGGUGAAGGGCCAGCCACACUGGCCUCCAGCUCGGCCCAGGCCUGGGAAUCUGGUCGAGGAUGAAGCCAGGUCCCUCUGUCUGUCCCUGCAGUGGGACAGGACAUCCUCCCACAUCUUGUUCUCUUUGAUCAGCACAAAUGUGCUGCAGAUCUGGACCAAAAGCUAAUAAGACAUUGUACAAGAGGAAUCAUUGUGCCAAUGGACCAGGGAACCUAAUCACAGUAAACGGCAGCAUGAAAAAAGAGCAAUACAUCAAGAUCCUCAACAACAACAUCAGACAGUCAUGUUAGUCUUCAGAAACGGACAAGGACUUCCUGACGCUACGUGACGGCUCCCAAACCUCACUGUCGUCCGUGUCAUCACCGCCAUCGUCCUCAUCUUCUUCAUCUUCUUCCUCAUCUUCCGCCCCUGCGACACUCCGCUCCCCC